UGAGGAAGACAGGCAAUCGCGGGUUGGAAGAUCCGAGGAAAGUCCGAACUCCACAGAGCAGAAUGCUGGCUAACGGCCAGUGAGGGUGACCUUAAGGACAGUGCAACAGAAACAUACCGCCGGGAAUAGAACAGAUGCGAAGCUCCCGGUAAGGGCGAAAUGGUGAGGUAAGAGCUCACCAGCAGGCGGGUGACCGUCUGGCUGGGCAAACCCCAUUUGGAGCAAGACCAAACAGAGGGAAUAGUCUACCGGCGUCCGGUAGGCUAGCGGGCUGCUCGUUCGUUAACCUUCGGGUUGGUUGCUUGAGGCGUCAGGUAACUGGCGUCCUAGAUAGAUGAUUGCUGCCUAUGGCAUUGAGAAGUGCUGUGGGUACAGAAUUCGGCUUAUGGCUUCCUCAACUC
rnacentral:RNase_P_RNA from 1 species